rnacentral:rRNA from 1 species
UACGGGGGGGGCAAGCGUUGUUCGGAAUUACUGGGCGUAAAGGGCUCGUAGGCGGCCAACUAAGUCGGAUGUGAAAUCCCCAGGCUUAACCUGGGAACUGCAUCCGAUACUGGAUGGCUUGAAUUCGGGAGAGGGAUGCAGAAUUCCAGGUGUAGCGGUGAAAUGCGUAGAUAUCCGGAGGAAUACCGGUGGCGAAGGCGGCAUCCUGGACCGGCAUUGACGCUGAGGCGCGAAAGCCAGGGGAGCAAACGGG